UAUCCUACGGGGCGCAGCAGUGGGGAAUAUUGCACAAUGGGGGAAACCCUGAUGCAGCAACGCCGCGUGAGUGAAGAAGUCAUUCGUGAUGUAAAGCUCUAUCAGCAGGGAAGAAGAUGACGGUACCUGACCAAGAAGCCCCGGCUAACUACGUGCCAGCAGCCGCGGUAAUACGUAGGGGGCAAGCGUUAUCCGGAUUUACUGGGUGUAAAGGGGGCGCAGACGGCAAUGCAAGCCAGGAGUGAAAGCCCGGGGCCCAACCCCGGGACUGCUCUUGGAACUGCAUGGCUGGAGUACAGGAGGGG
rnacentral:rRNA from 1 species